UACGAAGGGUGCAAGCGUUACUCGGAAUUACUGGGCGUAAAGCGCGCGUAGGCGGCUUUGUAAGUUAGAGGUGAAAGCCCGGAGCUUAACUCCGGAACUGCCUUUAAGACUGCAUCGCUAGAAUCGUGGAGAGGUGAGUAGAAUUCCGAGUGUAGAGGUGAAAUUCGUAGAUAUUCGGAAGAACACCCGUGGCGAAAGCGGCUCUCUGGAACGGUACUGACGCUGAGACGCGAAAGCGUGGGGAGCGAACAGG
rnacentral:rRNA from 1 species